rnacentral:rRNA from 1 species
UACGGAGGGUGCAAGCGUUGCUCGGAAUUACUGGGCGUAAAGGGAAGGUAGGUGGUCUCGCGCGUCUAGGGUGAAAACCCUGAGCUUAACUCAGGAAGUGCCUUGGAAACGGCGAGACUGGAGUCCUGGAGAGGGUUGUGGAAUUCCCGGUGUAGCGGUGAAAUGCGUAGAGAUCGGGAGGAACACCAGCGGCGAAGGCGGCAACCUGGACAGGUACUGACACUCAACUUCGAAAGCGUGGGGAGCAAACAGG